rnacentral:misc_RNA from 1 species
UUUCCGUAGGUGAACCUGCGGAAGGAUCAUUAAUGAGUUGUCAUGGGGUUCGAUGCUGGCAGCCAGUUUUUGGAUGCAUGUGCUUGCCCUAACAAUCAUCUUCUUCCAAACACCUGUGCACAUUUUUGAGGGAGUCUUGAGUUGGUUGCCGCUCUUGGGUGAUUUUCUCACAUUCCCUUAAACCAUUAUACGCUAUUAACAAUGUUGAACGUGCUCUGUGCCGCAAGGCCAUUAAUAUAAUACAACUUUUAACAACGGAUCUCUUGGCUCUC